rnacentral:rRNA from 1 species
AUGUGCUGUGAGCUCGAUGAGUAGGGCGGGACACGUGGUAUCCUGUCUGAAUAUGGGGGGACCAUCCUCCAAGGCUAAAUACUCCUGACUGACCGAUAGUGAACCAGUACCGUGAGGGAAAGGCGAAAAGAACCCCGGCGAGGGGAGUGAAAAAGAACCUGAAACCGUGUACGUACAAGCAGUGGGAGCACCCUUCGGGGUGUGACUGCGUACCUUUUGUAUAAUGGGUCAGCGACUUAUAUUCUGUAGCAAGGUUAACCGAAUAGGGGAGCCGGAGGGAAACCGAGUCUUAAUUGGGCGUUAAGUUGCAGGGUAUAGACCCGAAACCCGGUGAUCUAGCCAUGGGCAGGUUGAAGGUUGGGUAACACUAACUGGAGGACCGAACCGACUAAUGUUGAAAAAUUAGCGGAUGACCUGUGGCUGGGGGUGAAAGGCCAAUCAAACCGGGAGAUAGCUGGUUCUCCCCGAAAGCUAUUUAGGUAGCGCCUCGUGAAUUCAUCUCCGGGGGUAGAGCACUGUUUCGGCUAGGGGGCCAUCCCGGCUUACCAACCCGAUGCAAACUGCGAAUACCGGAGAAUGUUAUCACGGGAGACACACGGCGGGUGCUAACGUCCGUCGUGAAGAGGGAAACAACCCAGACCGCCAGCUAAGGUCCCAAAGUCAUGGUUAAGUGGGAAACGAUGUGGGAAGGCCCAGACAGCCAGGAUGUUGGCUUAGAAGCAGCCAUCAUUUAAAGAAAGCGUAAUAGCUCACUGGUCGAGUCGGCCUGCGCGGAAGAUGUAACGGGGCUAAACCAUGCACCGAAGCUGCGGCAGCGA